GUAGGUGGCAAGCGUUGUCCGGAAUUAUUGGGCGUAAAGCGCGCGCAGGCGGUUCUUUAAGUCUGAUGUGAAAGCCCACGGCUCAACCGUGGAGGGUCAUUGGAAACUGGAGAACUUGGGUACAGAAGAGGAAAGCGGAAUUCCACGUGUAGCGGUGAAAUGCGUAGAGAUGUGGAGGAACACCAGUGGCGAAGGCGGCUUUCUGGUCUGUAACUGACGCUGAGGCGCGAAAGCGUGGGGAGCAAACAGGGAUUAGAUACCCUGGUAGUCCACGCCGUAAACGAUGAGUGCUAAGUGUUAGGGGGGCUUCCGCCCCCCUUAGUGCUGCAGCUAACGCAUUAAGCACUCCGCUUGGGAGUACGGCCGCAAGGCUG
rnacentral:rRNA from 1 species